CGUGCGGGCAAAAGCAAGCGAUGGCUCCCAGCAGCUUAAAGGGAAGGGGGAGUGAAGCAGAAGGCUACCCGAAAACCUGAAUCGGACAGCUUGGGGCUACCAGUCAGCCUUCGCCCCAGGUGUUAAACGUGCGCCCCGCGGUCGGACCGACGAGGACGACACAGAGGCUGCGCCCAAGGAGCCCGUCCGGAGGCAGCCCCUGGAAAACCCCAGCAGCAACGCUCCAGCUGCUGGGAAGGGGCGCUCGCUGGCGCCAUUAGGAAAGCUGCGCAAAGGUGCACGCCACGUUCGGCUGCAAGACAGCGCCAGGGCGCAGCCGUCCCCAAAGAGGCUCUCGGGAUUAUGUAAACCGAAGCGUGUGAUGCCACGACCGGCGAACGCACAUCCGCCACGUUUCCCUCCUCCGUCCAGGAGCAACUGGCUUUCUGGGUUGGGCUCAAAGUUUCUGGAUGUGAUGCAGCCGGGGAGUUUAUAAACGUGCUCCCGACCAAUUUACGCUCUGAGCCGAAGUCAGAUUAUCCCAGUUUCAGCACACGCUGAUCCAAUUUGCAGAAUAAGAGAUCUCCCCCCAAAUGAUCCGCGAAGGCAGCACCCGAUUCCAACAGAAGGCACGUCACGGGAAAACUUACGACCUGGGUCAUUAUGUUUUUCCCGGUUAUGAUAAUGAGCGGUAGACCAUCUCGUUAGCUAUUUUUCUCCUCAGGCUGUAAACUCCCUUCCCAAAAAAGACAGAUCGUGUCUUUCUAGGUAUAUUUCCAUACAAAACCCUUAUUAACAGGCUGUUGCUGUUAUCAAUUUACAUAAACUACAUGUGCAGCCCUCUGGUACGUAUCCCAAAAAUAACCAACAACUUCACUGAAUUUAUACCAAGCAACAAACAUGGGGAGGGGGGUUGUUGUUUUUUCCCAUAUUUUAAUAGAAAAUAUGUUGCUAUGUUAGUUAACACACCCAUGCCAUCUGUUGGGUUGCGAAUUGAUGCGUUUUCUUAGAACCGCUACGUUUUAGGUCUGUCUGCCCAGAUCCGUCUGCCUAGAUACCCCAGGAAUGGAAAAGGCUCUCUCCCAUGAUAAAAUGCUUCCAGUCAUUAUGAUUUCCGAAUCAGGAAUCAAUUCACGUUUUUAAUCGUGGGCCAAACUGGUAGGACCUAGUUACCCAAAGUCGGACCUCGUGCCGGGUCUGACUCUGUGUCUACCCGAAACAGCGGAGAAAAUGCCAGUGAUGUUCGGGAGGCAGCAUCAGGUCUCCACACAGGUUUCCAAGAAAGCAUUUCACGGGUAGAUAUGAACAUGUACUGAAAACCCAGAUAAAUACCUGGAAAGCCAUUUCUGCCUCAUUAUGCAAUGAAUUGUGGAUGCUAGUCUUUUUGCAUGAUGCGCGCAAAAGCCAACAUUUCAAGCUAUCUACACUACUUUAAAAUCGUAAUAGUAGAGAAAAAAAUUGGUACUUGCUACAGUAAUGCCUUUACAGCGGUAGGUGUAAGAACAAGCACGGUUUCCAAACUGUAUAUAAACUCCCUGCCAAGAAGGGUCAAGCCAGAAUUUUUAAAAGACCAGUGAAAGAAAUGAUUCACUCUGCUUUUCACGUGAGAACUACAGCAUCAGACAAUACUCUGUCACAAACGAAUAACCGAUAAAGAAAUAAACCUACAUGUUAAAUUACCUUACUGCAUCCCAAGGCGGUUUGGGAUGAUUAUAUCCCAGUUAGCGCCCAGGUUCCCAGGAGCUGGGUACUUUAUUAAACAGAAGAAGAGAACACGACAACGGGCAGCUCCUAUGCUAAGCAGCGAUAUUAUUAAAAAUACGUUACAUUUGCAACUUUUGCUGGAAAACCCACUCGGUGGCUAUUUAAACAUCACCACAUUGGUCAACGUGGCUACUUUUGCAUCUGUUGUGUUUGAUUGUGAGGAGGACACGGGAAGAUUUUCAUUACCACGUACGGCUAUACCAACUGGAGGAGAUAAAGGUUGCGGUGACGCAGCAUCGCAGACAAAUCAGCCGCCACCAAGACGCACAGACCCCGAAAUUAGAGAUGGGAACGCACGUGUAGCCGGUUCAAUUGGCACCCAUUAAAGCUAAUAACUAACCAUCCUCACAAGUUUCUAGCUCUGCAUUAUCAAAUCUGCAAAGAAAACAACAUCCGUCCACUUUUACACUCCAGUGGAAGAGGUGGUCCCUCGCGGCAGGGCUGCACAGUCUCGCCAUCUGGAGAAUAAAUCGAGUGUGAAGUACAGUAUAGUUUGGGACCAAGCUCCGUGGCGGCAGCCCAGCAGUUAGUUCAUUAGUUCCAAACUUCCAGGGAUUAGUGCGGUAUCAAUUCUGCUGUCGGAUGGGAUAAAGCAGGCAGAAUACGAGAUUCGAGGAAGAAUGUGACAACUCAGGAGGAGCCCCGUGGGCUUAUUUCGAAAACGUACGGAGUAUAAACGCACCUAAAGAAAAGCCUAAGAGAACACGAUUAUCGGAGUCUCGUAACAUCUGAAUCAGUACCUUUCCUUCUUUUCUUCUCUUCCUUUUUUUCUUCCUUUUCCUUUAGGUUAUAAUGUCAACAUAUAGAAAUUUCAGCUUGGAAACAGGAGGAAUGCCACAGAACUGGAAGCUCACCCACCCACUCAUCCUGGACGCUGUGUUAAUAAAGCAAUAAUGAAACAAAGAUGUUCAGAUUAACAGAGUUUGGGGGCCUGGAACAGCAGAGAGAAAAAAAAUCAUUUUCUGCUUUCUUUGGAAACUGGUAAUAUACCCCCACAAACCAGUUUUCCAGCACUGCGAUUUCCCGAACUGCCUGAUUUUGGGGAGAAAAGGGAAAGGCAUAUAUCUGCAUAAAUAUGUCCUGUUCCUUUUGAGUUGUAUCCCUGUUUUGCCUCACCUUUCUGGCAUACUCUUGCCCCCUUUCUUUUGAGACCUUAGGGUCACAAUGUAAAGACAGUGAGUAUACCUAAAGAUGUGUUCAUGCAUAGGUCUCAUCCCGUUAACAUCUUCGUAUAGUAAUUCAUACAGAAAUGUAAACAUAUGACUAAAUGCACUAAAAUGGCAGGCCAGAAUGUAUCAUCCUCAUGGCGAUAAGAAGUUUGCAUGUUUCAAAUGGCAGCAGAAAAAUUAAUUACUGUACUCACAGUUCAAGUCAUUUUUUUGUGACGGGUCUGACACGAUAAAAACAUACAAUUAUGUGUUAAUGUUACUUCCCUGGAGUGGUUUGUUUAGAGAACUCGACAUUGCUGAAUCUUUUGUCCCUUAUAUUAGUCCAUGCCGCACAACUCUAGAUGUUGCCUUUCUCACGUAAGACUCUGCAAAAGCGCACAUACAUUCCCAUAAUGUUACUUUGGCAAAACUGAGUGUUUGCAGAGGGAAAUCCUGACAUUUUUUACAUGCUUAGUCUCCUUCAGUGAAGUGAUGCCAUACAGAAUGGUGCAUGACUUAGCUUCAAAUUCACAAAUGGGACUGGCAGGAGAAAAGAAAAAUUACAUUUGUUUUCACGGAAACAAAGAAGACCAGAAAGGCACAGCAGAAUGUUUCUGCAACCAGGAAAUACUUGUUCAUGACACCUGUCUUCUACUCGUGUCAGAUACUUGUAAGAAUAAAUCUUUAAAAUGGUAAAUAUUUAUUCCCAGUUAGUCUUGUUAGACUGAAAAACUGUCAUUAAAAAUACAUACAUUGCAAAAGCUUCUAGAAGCUGCUAUUAAAUCAUUUAUUUUAGUUACCUUCUUGGCCAGUUAAUCAACUCGGGGGUUUUUUAAGACCUACGAAGUUUUAAAACACAUUUUCUUUCGGUUUAACAGGGAACAUGCCAAAACCAGCACGCACUCCUAAAGGAAAGAAGUGGCAGGAGUGAGGAGGUGGAGGGACAGUAAGGCCACCAUAGGAUACACCUCUAUUUCUCCUCUGCAAUUUAGGCAAACACAAGUUUUAGACAACGGACAAGAUCUCUUAAGGCUGCCUACGCAUCACUGGGGGCUGCUUGCUGCCGUGCAACCUUAGCAAGCAUCUCCCCUCCUCCUUCUGCCAGCGUGGACACUGUGGACCCUGGAGAUGUUCGGUGGAGAUUAUCUGAUAUCAUCCGAGUUGGACAAUUUCCAGAUAUGACCAUCGGGCAAUGGUUUGCCUCAAGAGGCCAGAAAAGUGGGGAACCACACAAUAAGGGUUUUUGAGUUAGACCAUGGCAGCAGGCCCGAACCCAGAGCGGACGGCUCCCCAUAUCGCUUUCCGGGGGCUCAGUGACGCAAGCACCCCAUUGCUGCUGAGCCAGGAGACCUGAGCAUGAGGAAACUACUGCAAGAGCAAGACAUUUUUACAAACUGUGUUUAAGAUAUUUUUCAUACUUGCAGAUAUCGUAUAAAAAUGUAAAUAGAGGCCAGUGUGCUGCUAGUAUGAAUCGGCACUUGGAAAUAUUAACAUAGCAUGAAGACUUAAUAUAAGUCCUUCUGUUUGUGGUAAUAACGAUGCAGCAUUUUAUGUGUGUGUGUGUGUGUAUGCAUAAAUACAGAGACAGACUUAGAGCUUGAGACUGUGUGUACAAUCCUAUUUUAAACACUUUUUAAUGAUAGUAUCAUAUACAACAGCUCCAAUAAAAGAAAAUUUUGUUCCCGUACGUAGGCAGCUAUUCUUUUGUCUGCCAACUUUUAUAAACACUUACGAAAGAGAUGUAAACAACCUUUCAAUUAAGACAAAUCAAGCUAACACUAAUUUAAGCUGGCUGCAAGAUGCAGUCUCUUUACUUUUUCCCCAGGCUUUCUGAGGAUGCUUUUCCUUGUGUGACAGAUUAGCAUCACAAACGAAAAUGCUUUAGAAGCAUUAGUGUUAAUUAGUCUUCCUGGACCAUCUGAAUGAGCUGUUGCAUGACGAAAUGAGACCACAAAAUAUUCAAUCUGAUGUAAUCAAUAAAAAAAAAUAGCUACACAUUUCUUACACAGGGCACAAGAACUUAGCCAUAUGUUAUGGUUGUUUUUAUUUAAAAAAUAUUCUGGUUUAAGACAUAUUGUCUUGGCACAACAUGUAAUACAUGAUUAGGGAAAAUGUUCACAUCUAGGCAUCCAUUUAUUAUUUUUGUAAAUGUAUUUUUUUGUUAGUGCUGGUAAUGAAAUAUAUUAUUCUACAUUCUGUCAAAAGUACAUCUACUUUAGCAAACUGUUAAUUCCUAUUCAGUAGCUGAUUUUAGAAGUGAUGACUCUAAGUGAGAUACCGAUCAAACAUUUCAAAGAUGAGCGACUGUCCCUAUCAAAAGCCAUCUCAUUAACUCUUCAAUUAUUGAUAAAUUGUUUGGAAAAAAUAGUUAAAACUAAACAUGACAAACAUUAAACAAUGGGAAAGGUUAAAGGCAGAAUAAAGGGAAAAUAAAAGUUUAACAGAAAAAAAGCCAACCGGGAGACUGAAUCUCAGGAAAGAUCUUCUCGAUUAAAAAAGCACCUGCAGUACUCCUCAAACUGUAAGACAGUUCCUAAGCAGAAAGGGAGGAAGGCCAAAGGCUUAUGCCUGUUCGCACCUAAAGAGCCGACGUGUUAGUCCCAGGCUGCUCAGAACCACCUAUGAAUGUAGAAGGCAUUAAGAAAAAUUAGGUAGAGUGUGGCACGGCUUUGUUCCCUCGCUCUCUUUUUGGAACAAACUUUUCCCAAUCUACCCACAAUCUCAGUAAAACUAGGUGUUUUAAAGAGAAAACUUGGAACAAUCAUGCUUUUUUUUGAACUGUAAAAAUACUGAUCAACAGCUCUGCGACCACCUCUCACCUCAUUUUUCAUACAGUAGUUUUAUCUGCACUGGUAAACUAGUAAAUGAAUAUUUUGUAAGGGAGCAAAAUCCUAAGGAAUUCCUUAAAUGCAAGGGCUUACAGGUCAUGACCACACUGUGUAUGACUGAAUGCUUGCAUAAGAAAAUCUCUUAUCUCAUCAUCUUCAACUCACAUUUUAAAGUUAAAUGGUGUCAUCUUGUAGAUGCAUGUGUUUCCAUGCAACGGAUUUAGCAUAGGAUUUAUGACACCAACUGAUCACUCAGAUGUCAUACGCUGAGCAAGGCACACCAUGAAGUGCUCCCACCAGACGGGUCCUUGCACUAUCUGGAACAGGAGUUCUUAAACCUUCUCAUUUCGUGGGCAGCUUCUCAAGGCAGAGAUUUUCUCAUGCAGUCCUGUCCUCCCUUGUGAAACUAAAUGAUUGAUCUUAAUUUCUUGUCCCUAUGGGAACACCCAUGCCAUCUGAUAACUUAGCUCCCACUUCACUUGGAGAUCUUGGGCCCCGACUGCCCACAAGACGUUAACUGCUAGUUUACAUCCUGACUCUCCUCUGGAGUGAAUCAGCUAUUUCCUCCAAACCAAAAUGAAAGUGUGGUUCUAGAGGCGGCUCUCUCCAGAGAUCACCCCCAAAAAGCAGUAUGGACAAGAUGGCACCAAGUGUGGCUCCUUCCACUUUGCUCAGCCAGGCCUUCAAACACUCACACGUGCUGUCGUGCUAUGCCCCAGGGCAUGCAAUACAUAUCCUUAGCUAAAUGUUAAAAAUAGCCCACGUUAAGCGUACGCACCGCUCAUCUUAUUUCAGAUGUUCAAACAGAAAAAUAAUUACACUCUAGGUCCAUCUGCACACCACCGUAAGUCAUGGGGAGAUCCAGAGCCACUUGCUAUGUACCUGUCACGGCAGCUAGUCCGCUCCAGAGGGUCACCCCUACGCAACGUGGACAUGAGCCCCUCUGCCCCACUAGGCCUGGGCAGCAGGCAUCACUCCCUGGAGCAGCUGCAUUUAGUGUUGUAGAAGUAGCCUAUAAUUAUACUAAUUACUUCUAUGGGAGAGUAAUGUUAGGAGAGUAUGAACAUAAUUUUAGAUGCCUUCAUGUUCAGAAGCUUGAAAGUAGAGGCCAGAAGCACUGAAGAGAGAGCUCUCCACAGGGUCGUUCAUGUUGUUCAAUAUGGGAAACUUUGAUCUAACCAGCUUUACACUAAAUUGACACAACUCUUGCCUUCCUGCAAAGCAGACUUGUUUUGUACAUGUAUUUCCCAAUUAGUGCUUACCUUAAUGAGGACAAACCUCACUUCGCCAGAUUUUGCCAGAAAUCCUUCUUCCUUCCCUACUGGAAGGGCUUCCUUCCUCAGAUGUUCCUAACAACUUCAUGAGGCCAUUUACAGCUGUUCAGUCUGGGGGCAAGAGCACAAAAAUGACGGCACGCUCCGUCUCCCCCUGAAGUGGCAGAGAGGAUACAGCACCAAAAUGCCACAUCCUGCAUGUCUCUGCAUCAGCAGUGACUAGCUGAUGCAGAAACAGAGCCCUCAUGUAUAAAAUAAGAUUAACUCUGUGACUCAUGCAUUCACCGCAAGGAGUAAGGACCUUUUUAGAAAUGACUUCACUUGUUUUCUGUGGUCUAAAUCAAAUCUGAUGAUGUGAAUUUGUCCCUGCCUAGACCUAUGAUCAGUGUUAAACAAGUGAUUUUCUUCAGUGUGAAAGUGGAACCCAAGCUGGUGGUUAUUUUCUACGUCAAAUCUUCCCUGAGCCAAUCUUAUGUUCACAAUAUUUGUACAUCACUAAUAUAAGUGUAUUGUACUUUCCUGGUACAAUAUAACACACAUCUUUACAGACAUACAGAGGAAUCUUAAUUGUUUAUUGGUGUUCCUCAAAACCUUCUUAAGCUCCUCAUUCAGAUAUUCCUGACUACCCUGGAACAAAUUACUGGAACUAGCCACAUUUCUUUCUUUAAGCUUUUCUUCAACUGUACUUUUUUUCUAAUAAAAUCAAUUAUUUUUAAUGCUAGCCUGCCUGAGGAGGUGCUCCUUAGCGGAGCUUCUGGAAUAUCUGCAAGGUUUAAAGGUUAGUGCAUAUUCCUCAAGAAAAGGAUUAGAUAAAAGCUACGUAUGUUGAUUUCUUCAAGAUCUAAGCAGUUCCUACCCCUCUUCUGCCUCUCCUACUUAUUCCCACUCCAUGCCACAGAUUUUUUUCCCCCACCCUAGCACUUCCAAUACAACUGUUUCUUGAGCCAAGAUGCAAACUGGAGCACUGAAGCAAUCAUACUAGAAAAACCCAGGUUUGUUUUACUUCUGAGUGGGAGAAUGGGGAUUUUUUAAAGCCCGAACGUUUCAGCGUUCCUGUCUACAGCAUGGCCACACAAACACCUGCAUCAUUGCGAGCAAGGGGGUUGCAAAGGAUGGCAUAAGCAGCUAGGAGUGACAGCAACUCAAAGAGGCACUUCUUCAGCUGUUUUCUUCCAUCAGCACCAACAAUUUGCACAGCUGCCCCUAGAGAACUAGAGUCAACCAGCUAAGCAGCCAAGAUUUCACACUACGGGCAUGCAGGAAAGGUGCAUCUUCAGGAAAGCCACCAGGUUCAGACUCAAAUGUGUUUUUUCCUCUCUGAGUUAAUUAAUUAUAGAAAUCUGGCCUUCUUUUUGAGGGGGCCUGGCUUGUGAGUUUGUAGACUGAAUUGCCAGAGCCGUCACAACCUCUAGCUUUCCUACUUGUUUCUGGCUAAUCGAGAGAGGCAGGAUUCAAGCAAGCCCCUGCAACCCAUAGCAAGCAUCAUUCACAGCCCCUAUUCUUACAUACAUACCUAUUUACCUGUAAGGUUACCUAAGCAUGACUGACUGGGGUCUCUGAAAUCAGCACGCUUUGUUAAAUACUUGACAUGCUGACUGCCACAGCCUUUGCCUUAACUUAAAGUCGCUCCCUUCAUAACCUUUUUUCGAGAUCUGAAUGUGUCGGCUCUUUCACUUGUGUUUCCACUGCCUGCUGUUAGAUACAUCCAAGUUCAAACCCAAUACGGAUCUCAUUUACCUCAAGCAGUCUGCCUGACUUCAAGCGCAAACUCCUCAGACCUGGCUUAUCAAGUAUUUUCCUUCACGUUUUGGACAAUGAUUCAGCCUAACGUCCUAUCAAUAUAAGACUAGUAAGACACAUACGUACACAGCAAAUGUUGUCUAAUAAAUGCUGGAGCUGGCCUUGACGACCCUGCUUUUGUACUGAUUUAACUAUUUCGGAUUUAGUUAAUAUCAAUAACAUUAAGGUGAUGCAAAGCUUCGGCAGGCAUCUAUUUACCAAAAUGCUGAUAGUGUAUUUUAUUUUCCUAUGUGAAUGAACUUUACGGACAAUAAAGAUCUUGUAGCACUAUAAUUGCAUUCA